UUUCACCCGCAUGUCUCUCGUCACUUUUGGAGCCUGUCUGUUUUUUUUUUUGCUUUGGUGUUCCCUUUUAAACUGCGCGCAUGCACAGUGGGCCCGCUGUUGGGGUUAUGCUGUUCCUGGGCUAAGGGGGACCCUGCCCAGGAUUUAGGGGACCCUGCCCCAGCAGAGAGGGACUGCUAAGUACCCUCUCCCCUUCACUACACUUUCCCUGGGGGGCUGGGCUAAGUAGGGGCUGGGGCGGGGCGAGACCCUCCUCAGCCCACUCAGCUGCCUCCUCCCACUACCUGGGGUUAACCCCCUUCCACCACAGGCCCCACUUACCUCCGGCUGUGCUGGGGGUCAGCGGGGUGCUCUGCUGCUGCUGGGGGGUCACUGGGGGGCUUUGGGAGAGCACGUCUCUUGCCGCUCCUGGAGCCUGUCUCUGGUUACUCAGAGAGAUUGGAGGGUUUUAAGACCCAGCUAGACAAAGCGUUGGCUGGGAUGAUCUACUUGGGGAUGGUCCUAUUUUGAGCAGGGGGUUGAACUAGAUGACUUCCCAAGGUCCCUUCCAACCCUAAUUUUCUAUAAUUCUAUGAUAUCUCAGGUCCUGGAUUCAUGAAUGAAUGUACAGUAGAACUCAGAUUUAACAUACCAUCCCCAGGCCAGAAAAAGCACAUUAUACCUAAGGUACAUUAAAGCAAGACUAAUAUUAAGAUGCUGCCUCAGGGCCUGGAGUGGGGAUAGAGGCAGGAGGGGGACAAAAGCUGGGCUCAGGGAUCAAGCACUGUUACAGAUUCCUGAGGUCUGUACUGCCAAUAUUGUGGACUCCCAGGAGCUUGGCCUAGUCUAAACUGUUAGGAGUAUGGCCAGGGACAUUUAUAUCUGUAGGAUAUGUGGAAGGCACCAGCUUCUGUAUGUAUAGCAAAUCCACUAUAGUGCUUCAGCAGGGUGGCAGGGAACAGUGGCUAGCAGCUUCUCCGCACAGGUCUGCUGUUACCUGCCACCCUGCUUCCCUCUCCUGGGGCCUCCGGAGCCUGGUGGGCACAACCUGGUGUGGCAGGCAGCAGCGGAGCCGCGCAGGGAUCUCCUCACCACUGUUUGCCCCCCGCUCCCGACCCCACCCCAGUGACGCGCUUCCUACAUGCAGGGCUGCAGUGAGGUCAGCGGCAUGGGGGCCGUGCCCCUCAAAGCACUGGAGGUGCAUCACCAGGGCAGAGGUGGGGAGUGGUGGCAAGGAGAUCCCCAUGCAGCCCCACUGUCCCCAGCCAUGCCAGGUCACGUCCUCCAGGCUCCAGAGGCCAGAGGACAUGAUCUGGUGUGGCUGAGGACAGUGGGCAGUGAAGCAAGGUGAGAGCCCACAGCCUGCGCCUGCCCUGAGUACAGCUCUGGGGGGUGCAGGUCCCCCCUGCCCCCCAGGAGUGUGUGUGGCAGCAGGGAGCCGGCUCUCCCUCUCCCCCAGACAACCCACCCACAGCCCAGUCUUUCUCCCUACUGGGGACCUGCAGCCAUGCAUUAUGGGCCUGGGCCCCAUGCCCCACCCAGCUGGGCAGCAUCCUCAGCCUCAGCCCUGCCCAGCUCCCUCUCUCCCCACAUACCUGCUGGAGCUGCUCUGCAGGCUGCCUGGGGCCAGAUGCAUGCCCAUGCACAUGGCACCCCCUGUCUCUCUGCCUUCCUCCUGCUCCGCCACAGCUACCUGCAGGCUGGAACUCUGCCAGCCUGCAGGGAAUUCCAAAAUGGAAAAAUCCACAGGCUUCUCUUAUAAAAUGAGAAAUCCACGUUUGCUUCUGGUAAAAGGUAAAAUCCGUGGUUUACUCCAUUUUUCCAUGGGAAACAGAAAACCUGGAUCCCUGCUAAUAAAAUAUGUAUGUAUUCCUAAGCAACAGCAGUCUGGCAGCGUUGUCAUUCUUUAAUUGAUGCUGAAGCCUGAUUUUAAAACCUACCUCACCUUAACUUUACCAAAAUGACCCUGAUCGCCCACCAGAUUACCAUGCCUGGACAGAAUUUGCUGAGAAGUUAGGGACACAGAAGAGGAGCUUCUCUACUUCUCUCUCCCUGGUCCCUUCCUAUAAGGGAAGGAGGAUCCAGGGAACUACAGGCCAGCCAGCCUCACAUCAGUCCCUGGAAAAAUCAUGGAGCAGGUCCUCAAAGAAUCUACUUCUAAGCAUGUGGAUGAGAAGAGUGUGAUUAAGAACAGUUGGCAUGGAUUCACCAAGGGCAAGUCAUGCCUGAGCAACCUGAUUGCCUUCUAUGAUGAGAUGACUGGCUCUGUGGAUGUGAGGAAAGCAGUGGACAAGAUAUAUCUUAACUUUAGCAAGGUUUUUGAUACCAUCUCCUACACAAUUCUUGCAAGCAAGCUAAGGAGCUGAGCUCUCCAACCUCUUUCAUGUUCUUCCGUCUUGUGAGUCCUGUGGAGAAUUUCAGAUUUUGUGCCAGGAAAAAAAAAUGGACUGAGUGAUGUCAAAGACCUGCUGGAGCUGGAGCCAGAAGGUAUUUCUUUCCUGUGAAAUAUUCCCUCAGCAAAGAAAAGGAUGAUGUGUUAAAACAUGGAGAGCUAUUUGUAAGAAAUAAACAGUGAACAUGUGACAAGCCUUCGUCUUGCCCAUUUCUCCUCCCCUAAAGAAGAUUUCCCGUUCCCAAAACUCGCCUGAUCAGCUGCAUAGAUCAAGAGAAAGAGUUCCUAUUCCUAGGGCUACAAGGAAAGACAUUUCUCAUUGGCACACAAAAAUCAAAUAAUUGAAAAUGCCAUCUAUAAAAGUAGCAUGGGCUACUUUUAAUUUGACCUUAUUCUGUUUAUGCUUUAUAAUACAAUCUUUAAUAACAGAGUUACUUAUUUUUUCCUCAGAACUUCUGCUUCAUUAAAUGCAUGAAACUGAAUCACAAAUAGACACAAUUAAGAAUCCACAGAUGGGUUGGCCCUGCCUUGGAUCCUGCCACAGGACAGUGUUCCAGGGCCUCUGCUUGUCUUUCCCUGAGACACAACACUCCCCUUAAGAUGCGUUGUGGCGUUUCGAGUCUUGGGCCUGGACUCCUACCUUGUAUCCAUCACUGCUUCGUUGUCUGGUUUACUGUAUCUGGUGUUCUGUCUUUGGUCUCGCACCUAAAUAAGAAAUCCCCCAUGGUGUUAUUUUUCCCUGGGUGAUGUAUUAUUUGCAAUUUGAAAGGCUGCAGGGCCAGGGCCCACCUGGUUAUUCAGGCCUUAUUAGUUUUGGCCCUGCUUAACCAUUGGAGGGGUGCAUGAUCUGUUAUAAGCCUGAAUUCCCUCCCCAUCAGAUAGUAGCGGAAAUGCUCCAUGGCCCACUGGAUCGCUAAACAUUCCUGCUCUAUUGUAGCAUACUGUGUCUCUGCAGGGAGCAGCUUAGGACUCGCGUACGCCACGGGUCUUUCAGUUCCAGUGUCUUCUUGGGUCAGGACAGCCCUUAAGGAUGUCUCUGAUGUAUCCAUAGUAGUAUAUAGGCUCACCGCCCUUCAAUGCAAAUGUGACAGGUUGGCGGGACCAGAAGUACCGCCCCUUAGCCCUGCCCCCUUUAAACGGUGCAUGACAUCACUAGCCCCACCCCUGACCUCAGACACAUUGUGCGUGACGUCGCCAGCCCCACCCCCUAACUCCAGUCACGUGGUGUGUGACAUCACCAACCCUGCCCCCUCCCCAGUCACAUGGUGCAUGGCAUCAGCAACUCCACCUGCACCCCCCGUCAUGUGGUGUGUGACAUCAGCAACUCCGACCCCACCCCCCCAGUCACAUGGGGUGUGACACCACCACCACAUGGUCCAUGACAUCAGAAGGACAGCCCACGCAGACCCCCAAAGCCCACCCCCUCAUGCUGCAAGACCCACCCUAGACCACGUGGUACAGUUAUGACCUAUCAGGUCCCAAACUGCUCUUGCCCCUCCAGAGUGACCCUUGAGUUUGUCUGAGAUUGUGCUAAGACAAGCAGAGGCAGACAUGGAGGAGAUUCAGGAGUGUGAGAUGGGUGCCAAGUUUACCAAAACAAGACCAGAGACCGUGACAGAACUCGAGCAGUCCAUAUCAGAGCCGCCUGUGGAGAGCAUGGACAACUCUGUCCCAAGGGACUCUACUGAGGUCCGCCUCUGUCCUCUCUGCCCUCUCCACAGCUGGACUUCCAGGUCUCUUCCUCAGAUAAGUAUACUGAUUCCUCCGAGUCAGUUUGUGGGAUCAGCUCCUUACUGGGAGGCUGCCACUAGCUAUCUUUCUGGUGAUCUCCGCUCCCACUGCAGCCUUCCUUCAAUUGCCAGGGACCUCUGUCCAGUCCCCCUGUUGGCUUGCAGCGUGGGGCUUUUAUCUCUGCCCUGCUGCACCUGCUGGCAAAUCGGUGCUGGCACAUACUUACAAAGUGCAUCCACGCCUGCACUGGGUUUUUUUCUUUGCCCCGUCUCCAGGCUCCUGUUGCCUGCGGCAUGGGAUGCUGCAGCAUUGCUGGUCAGUUUCGCGGUGCAGCGGACCUGCUGCCACUGCCAUGCUCGGGGUUCUUGACAGGCUGGGUUGCUACCAACAGGGUAUGCAGUGUGGCAGUUUCACCCCUGCUGCCCCAUUCCCACAGCUGUGUGUGUUGUGGGGUUGCUGGUGGUGCUCGCGGUGUGGUGAUCCUGGCACUGCCAUGCUCCCACAACUCGGCGUGCUGUGAUGCCACUGGUGAGCUCUUUGGCAUGGGGAUUUUGCCGUUGCUGCUGGGUCCUUGUGGCUCAGCGGUUCCCUUGCCCCUGCCCCACCUGUUAUUAACUGUAGAAGGGAACUCAGCAACUCAUCUAGUCCAACCUCCCUGCAGGAUCAUCCAUAUUCAAACCAUCCUGUAGAAGUGUUUGUCUAAUAUAUUCAUAAAACUAUAAAAAAGAUCAUGAAAGCUCUUAUGUGUGUUUCUUUUUAUGGCAUAAUGAAAUAUUGUUUGAGAAUGAAGCAUUUUUAAGAAUGUGUGGGGUGUUUUUUAGAUGAACCAGGACAAGGAAGCCAUGCAUGUGGAAAUCCAGCACAUCAGAGCAGACUUGAUUGAUCAAGUUUGCUGGAGCAUGGAAAUUGACACAUUCUGGCAGCCUUCCACGUCACAUAUAUCAGCAUCCCCAUGCAUCCCUGCACUAAAAAAUGGUCGCAGAACACUUUGAAAUAAACACAUUUGAUGAUUGUGGAAAAAACUUAUCUCUGCCAGAUGAGGAGCAGAGCACGGCGAAAGUGAAACCACAGCAGGCGGAGCCGCCAUGGGAAAAAGAAAAGAAAAAAAAAACGGCUGAGCCAGAAGGAGCCGGGACUGGCUCCCCUGUUGGUGGGGGCACACUUUAUGGUGGCGUGCCAGGACCGAUUGGUCAGCCAGGCCCCUGGAGCUGGGAUAAAAGACCCGGCAGAAGACCAGCGGGGUGGACUGGAAGUGAGGUCUUCAACCGGCCCAGAGAGGCCAGAGCAAGAACCUAGUCCCAGUGAGGGGACCUAGUGGUUGCCCCAGGAAGGGGUUUCUGUGAGAGGUCUGGGCCAGAGAGAGCCUGAGGAUUUACCCAUAGAGUCUCUGUGGACAACAGAUGAGCACAGCAUGGACUGGAGUCUGGCAGGACCAAGUAGGACAAGAAGCCAUACAUGACUGACCGACGGCAAGUACCAAGCCUGAAGACAGGGCGACACACCGGGAGGCAGAAUGGCAACAAAUCAGGGUGACACAUAGACGAGGAAAAGGGGGCAGUAGGGAGCACUCAGGUUAAAACACCAUCCUGAUCCUAUGGCCAUAAAUUCAGAGAGCCGGAGCACCAAAGCAUACAGUAUGCCAACUCCAACAAUACAAGUGACGACAUCUUUGGUUGAUGUUAGGCGGGGUGUAGGGGAGGCAGAGCCUCAAACAGGAAGAACAGCUGGGACGACCAAAGGGAGGCACCAGGAAGGAUGGGACUGAACAUCUUCCUCCCAGUUAAAAUUAUUUUUCAUCAAAGACAUGGCAGGCGAGACCCGCUGGGGGACUGACCGAAAGUCAGCCUAUUAACAGAACUGUUUCUUCCUAAAAGCCAUGGCGAGGUCAGAGAGGAACCCCCAUACUUGAUGCCCAGGUGAAAGGCACGGGAGAUUACAAUAAGCUUUAAUUCAAAGUGCCCCGCCACCAUUUUUUCAGCACAGGGACAUGUGGGGAUGCGGGCACUUUUAAUUUGCGUGGCUUGCUAUUAAAGCACCCAGUGCCGCAUCCCAGAACAUGUGUAAAAAUGCCCUUUACUCUGUGCUGUGUAUGGAAAGUGUUUUAAAUGCUAUCUAAAUGCUAUUAGUGCAAUAGGUUAUGCCAUGAAUUGCCUGCACCUCACAGAGAAACAUUUAGCUCAGGGUAUAGCAAUUUUAAACACAGUUCAUAUUGCUGAAGACCCUACAUGGUUUGAUCACUGAAGAAUAUAAGCCUCUGAUACCCUAUAUGGAAUGUUUAAUUGGGACUAGAGAUUAUAAAACCCUGCUUAAGAGAAGGCUUUAGCAAAAACAGUUAUAAAAUGUAUUUUUAUGGAUGUUACCUUUACUUUUUUUGGGGGGGGGGGGGUGAAUUAGCCCUGUGAGUGUGUUGUAAAAAUAAAACCAACAAGACUUAGCAGUUACUAGAAAUUAUAAAAGCCCUUCUUAGGGGAAGGAGGUGCUAGCAAUAAAAAGCUGUAAAUAUUAUACAUAUUUGAUGGGAAUAAAGACUGUUUUAAAAUGCA